GAUGAACGCUGGCGGCGUGCCUAAUACAUGCAAGUCGAGCGAACGGACGAGAAGCUUGCUUCUCUGAUGUUAGCGGCGGACGGGUGAGUAACACGUGGAUAACCUACCUAUAAGACUGGGAUAACUUCGGGAAACCGGAGCUAAUACCGGAUAAUAUUUUGAACCGCAUGGUUCAAAAGUGAAAGACGGUCUUGCUGUCACUUAUAGAUGGAUCCGCGCUGCAUUAGCUAGUUGGUAAGGUAACGGCUUACCAAGGCAACGAUGCAUAGCCGACCUGAGAGGGUGAUCGGCCACACUGGAACUGAGACACGGUCCAGACUCCUACGGGAGGCAGCAGUAGGGAAUCUUCCGCAAUGGGCGAAAGCCUGACGGAGCAACGCCGCGUGAGUGAUGAAGGUCUUCGGAUCCUAAAACUCUGUUAUUAGGGAAGAACAUAUGUGUAAGUAACUGUGCACAUCUUGACGGUACCUAAUCAGAAAGCCACGGCUAACUACGUG
rnacentral:rRNA from 1 species